UACGCUUCUCGGCCUUUUGGCUAAGAUCAAGUGUAGUAUCUGUUCUUAUCAUUACUUCACUAGUCCUUUUUUGUCCUUAAGUAUAUAUUAAGAGAUGUUUAAAUUAUUUGUUUGAUGGUUCCAUAAUUUGUCAUUUAAAAAUCUUUCUGUGGGACUGGAGCAAUAGCAAAGCAGGCAUUUGCCUU